rnacentral:misc_RNA from 1 species
GCUGUUUUAACAUCACAUUGACCUGCAAGUAACACAUAUUCCUUAAUUUUAAGACUAAUCAUGUAAAAUCAAAAUAUGAGAGGGUGACAUGCAUUUAGGUCAUAUUCAUAUUUUCUUGUCUUCUAAUUUUACACCCUUGCAUGAAAAAUUUAUACACAAGCAGCACGCUCAUUUUUUUUUAUCCAAUUAAAUAAGUAUUUUUUUGCUAGGCAAUAAAAUUUUACUCAAAGGUCUAAAAGUAAAUGAUUUAAUUCAAUUUCAAUUCUAUUGGCUCAAUUAUAGAAUUCAAUUCACGAGGAAGAAAUAAAAGAUGACUCUGAUAAAAAGAGGUCAGAUUUGCAACAAAAAAAAUGCAAUCAAAUUAGUUAAUUUUACUAUGGAAAGGUGCUUCAAAGUUUUCCAUGCCAAAGGAUACCAACAUUAUCACUGGCAGAAGCAUGCUAAUGUUCACUUAAAAU